AUAAUGAUACUUCCGUCCAGCCACAGUCCGAGCGUUAAAAGCGUCGCAGGCAAUGGGGACGGCCCGUCAGUAUGGGGGGAGGUGAAAUUCCUAUGA
rnacentral:ncRNA from 1 species